CUAGGAACCACUAUUUUAGGACCAGGGGUGAGAGCUGGAGAUUGAUGCCUUGUGACACAGCCCUGGUGUUUGUGAAUAACCAUGACAACCGGAGAGGUCAUGGGGCAGUCGGGGCAUCUGUCCACCCGGUCUAGGAGCCUAGGUGUGUGUGCAUGAGUGUGUCUGAAGAUGGAUCCGCCUGUUCUCCCGAGUCUACUAUUUGGGCCAAAGCAAUCCUGCUCUCUCCUGGGAUGGCCCUGAG